rnacentral:rRNA from 1 species
UAACGCGUAAGGAACUUGCCUCUUGGACUGGGACAACUGUUGGAAACGACAGCUAAUACCGGAUAUUAUGAGAUUCUCGCAUGAGAAACUUAUGAAAGCUAUAUGCGCCAAGAGAGAGCCUUGCGUUCCAUUAGCUAGUUGGUGGGGUAACGGCCCACCAAGGCGACGAUGGAUAGCCGGCCUGAGAGGGUGAACGGCCACAAGGGGACUGAGACACGGCCCUUACUCCUACGGGAGGCAGCAGUGGGGAAUAUUGGACAAUGGACCAAAAGUCUGAUCCAGCAAUUCUGUGUGCACGAUGAAGGUCUUCGGAUUGUAAAGUGCUUUCAGUUGGGAAGAAGCAAGUGACGGUACCAACAGAAGAAGCGACGGCUAAAUACGUGCCAGCAGCCGCGGUAAUACGUAUGUCGCAAGCGUUAUCCGGAUUUAUUGGGCGUAAAGCGCGUCUAGGCGGAAAAAUAAGUCUGAUGUUAAAAUGCGGGGCUCAACUCCGUAUUGCGUUGGAAACUGUUUUUCUAGAGUACUGGAGAGGUGGGCGGAACUACAAGUGUAGAGGUGAAAUUCGUAGAUAUUUGUAGGAAUGCCGAUGGAGAAGUCAGCUCACUGGACAGAUACUGACGCUGAAGCGCGAAAGCGUGGGGAGCAAAC